CCAGUGCGGAUCUAAUCUUGGAAUCUUCAGACGUCGGCAUCGUUAGCGUCUCUAGUCUCGGGACAUUGAUCAAUAAACUUUUGGUGGAAACUUUUGUGCCGCUCAUCAAUGAGGCUCUGACUGUCGGACUCCCACUGCCAAAUGUGCUGGGCAUUAAGCUGAUUAAUGCUGUUCAGAUUGUGGAGGGCCUGGUUGUGGUGCGUGUGUGAGCCUGGAAAGCCCAAAGCAUGCUGAGGUCUUUGUGGUGACACCGCUGACAGCAGAAAGAGAGCCCGAAAGACCUACAAGAAUGAACCAGCUAGACUGAUAUUGUCCUAUAUUCCUUUCUCUAACUUGAUUCAAGGCUGAGUCAGAUUUUCAGGUAGUUUAGGCCUAAUUUGCACAUGUAAGUACUAGGAUUGCACGGUCAAACACCAGCUGAGAACAGUGCGUGCCACUAACUAGAUGAAUUAGCACAGUUUGUGUACCGCAUGUGAGGUUAGGUAUGUAGCUGAAUGGCUAAGCUCUGUGGGGGGGCCCCUGGGGGGACAGUGUACCAGGUGAUUCUGAGUUUUACAUGGGAAAAUAUGGUAGAUUUAGUAUAAUGAACAAGUGAACUUGUUAGAGACUGUUAAGUAAACCUCACCAU